CGCCCCCGUAAUUGUUUCUGCAUACGUGCCCGCGGGAAAAUUUGUUCGUCUGGCACGUGACGUAAUAAAGCAACAAAAGCAUUUUCCGCGCUUCCACGAAUGUGACGCUUUGAUUGAGUUCAGGUCAAAGAGACCCAUUAUGAGAUGCGAACCAAUGCCAAUAAGCCAAUAUGUUCGGCUCCGAACUAUUUAUGUAAUAACAACCUUUAGGGUUUUGGAUCGUUAUGCCAUCCUAUAAAGCACUGCUAUAUUAACGCAGCCGUGUUGUUGCAAUUUUAGCUACUCUUCUUCACAAAUAUUCC